UGUACGUUAUUCCACUACUUUUAUGCUUUUCUGAUUUUCAUGCCAUAUGGUUUUUGCAGGUGCUACUUAGAGGUGACUAAGAUGUCACAUCGGUUACCAACACAAUGAUGCCAAAUUUUAAUCAUAAAUUGUGAAAACUGUCAAGUCAUGGAAAAAGAGUGAAGCUUGAAAAUGCUAACAAAUUGUCCAAUGGUUCCACUGCUGCUGAAGAGGUGUUAACGUCUUAGGGAAUCGGUCUGGCAAAAUCAGUUGAGAGCGCAACCAAAUCUGUAUCAGGAAUUGAGGAUUU